CCUACGGGAGGCAGCAGUGAGGAAUAUUGGUCAAUGGACGAGAGUCUGAACCAGCCAAGUAGCGUGAAGGAUGACUGCCCUAUGGGUUGUAAACUUCUUUUAUAUGGGAAUAAAAUGUUCCACGUGUGGGAUUUUGUAUGUACCAUAUGAAUAAGGAUCGGCUAACUCCGUGCCAGCAGCCGCGGUAAUACGGAGGAUCCGAGCGUUAUCCGGAUUUAUUGGGUUUAAAGGGAGCGUAGGUGGAUUGUUAAGUCAGUUGUGAAAGUUUGCGGCUCAACCGUAAAAUUGCAGUUGAUACUGGCAGGCUUGAGUACAGUAGAGGUGGGCGGAAUUCGUGGUGUAGCGGUGAAAUGCUUAGAGAUCACGAAGAACUCCGAUUGCGAAGGCAGCUCACUGGACUGCAACUGACACUGAGGCUCGAAAGUGUGGGUAUCAAACAGGAUUAGAUACCCUAGUAGUC
rnacentral:rRNA from 1 species